rnacentral:rRNA from 1 species
UACGUAGGACCCGAGCGUUAUCCGGAUUCACUGGGUGUAAAGGGUGUGUAGGCGGGCGUGUGCGUCCGGGGUGAAAGGUUUCGGCUCAACCGGAAACAUGCCUUGGAUACGGCACGUCUUGGGUGCGGGAGAGGACGGUGGAAUUCCUGGUGUAGCGGUGAAAUGCGUAGAUAUCAGGAGGAACACCAGUGGCGAAGGCGGCCGUCUGGCCUGCAACCGACGCUGAAACACGAAAGCGUGGGGAGCAAACAGG